CCCUUAGAUGUUCUGGGCCGCACGCGCGCUACACUGACGAUGGCAACGAGUUUUUCCUUCGCCGAAAGGUGUGGGUAAUCUUUUGAAACAUCGUCGUGCUGGGGAUAGAUCAUUGCAAUUUUUGAUCUUGAACGAGGAAUUCCUAGUAAACGCGAGUCAUCAGCUCGCAUUGAUUACGUCCCUGCCCUUUGUACACACCGCCCGUCGCACCUACCGAUUGAAUGUUUCGGUGAAGAUUCCGGAUAGGACUUUUUUGAUUUAUUUCAAUUCUGUCUUAAAAGCUAUCUAAACCUCAACAUUUAGAGGAAGGUGAAGUCGUAACA
rnacentral:rRNA from 1 species